CUUCACUCAAUUCACCCAGUAACAUAAGCAUGCAGGUUUCUAUAUCAAGGUUACCAUUGGUGCUUUCUGAGAAAGUCCAGCGUUCCAAGGUCUUCUCUCUCAAUAACUUGUAGAAAUUCAAAUAAUUAAGGUUUAAAGUCCUGGGAUGAGAGAAGUCCAGUUCUGGGAAGAAGCAAACUACGCACUGCCGGCUGCUUAUUUUUGUAUUGCUUAGUUAUUUGGUCUCUUGGCACUUGUUGAGUGUGAAGGUGAAUCCAUUGAUCUAAGUGGUGAAAUGGGGGCUGUUGGGCGACCAGUGAUUCCAGAUACCCCAUCUGGAGAUUAUGAAAUGCACCUAGACUUGAAAGGCACAAUAUACAGAACAACAACAGUUCCUUCCAGAACAUUUUACGUUGUAUGUGAGGGAUCUCUACUUGAAUUCUUUUAUUUGCAGAUUUGACACGCUCCCCUCUUUUCACUUUCUCGUCCCCAUCUUGGUCCCCCAUGAUUUCCAUGGGUUCUGUUCUACAUUUUACUUUUGAAAGGGAUGAUUGCGUGAUAUAGCAUGUUUCCCUUCCGGUUCAGGUUAGCUUUUGGUCAAUCCAAGGCAAAGAUAGAGGCUACCAUGAAUGACUUCAUUCAGCUUAAAACGCAGUAAUGUUUAUGAAUAUGAAACUACAGUUGAAGCUCGCUGAAAUGACUUGUAUGAGUAGGAACGCUUGAGGGUUUUUCCUUCUUUUCUGAAGAUGAGACUGACAAGAUAACAAAGGCUACUGCUCAUCAAACCGAUCAGAAUAUGGACGUUGAAGAACCAUCCAAUGGAAAGAUUAAGAGAAAAGCUGAGAAAUCAUCUGGAGGGGCUCGAAAGAAGGGUAAAACUGCAGGAGGAAAGCCGUGCAACGUAUGAUAUAUCAUACAUGCUUGCAUAAAUCAUGAACCAUUAUUAAUGACCGGAUAAAACCUAGCUGAUUGAGAUUGAUAUAGAAAUCACAAUUAGAUUAGUUUUCUUUACUUGCUGGAUUUAAUCAUCAUAGCUUAUUUAAUUUAUUUUGGAAGAAACUGAUGGUUAUUUUAAGUUCGUUUUUCAUACCAAUAAA